GAUGAACGCUGGCGGCGUGCCUAAUACAUGCAAGUCGAGCGAACGGACGAGAAGCUUGCUUCUCUGAUGUUAGCGGCGGACGGGUGAGUAACACGUGGAUAACCUACCUAUAAGACUGGGAUAACUUCGGGAAACCGGAGCUAAUACCGGAUAAUAUUUUUAACCGCAUGGUUCAAAAGUGAAAGACGGUCUUGCUGUCACUUAUAGAUGGAUCCGCGCUGCAUUAGCUAGUUGGUAAGGUAACGGCUUACCAAGGCAACGAUGCAUAGCCGACCUGAGAGGGUGAUCGGCCACACUGGAACUGAGACACGGUCCAGACUCCUACGGGAGGCAGCAGUAGGGAAUCUUCCGCAAUGGGCGAAAGCCUGACGGAGCAACGCCGGGUGAGUGAUGAAGGUCUUCGGAUCGUAAAACUCUGUUAUUAGGGAAGAACAUAUGUGUAAGUAACUGUGCACAUCUUGACGGUACCUAAUCAGAAAGCCACGGCUAACUACGUG
rnacentral:rRNA from 1 species